rnacentral:rRNA from 1 species
GAUGAACGCUGGCGGCGUGCUUAACACAUGCAAGUCGAACGGUGAAGGCGGAGCUUGCUCUGCUGGAUCAGUGGCGAACGGGUGAGUAACACGUGAGCAAUCUGCCCCUGACUCUGGGAUAAGCGCUGGAAACGGCGUCUAAUACUGGAUACGAGCUGCGAAGGCAUCUUCAGCAGCUGGAAAGAAUUUCGGUCAGGGAUGAGCUUGCGGCCUAUCAGCUUGUUGGUGAGGUAAUGGCUCACCAGGGCGUCGACGGGUAGCCGGCCUGAGAGGGUGACCGGCCACACUGGGACUGAGACACGGCCCAGACUCCUACGGGAGGCAGCAGUGGGGAAUAUUGCACAAUGGGCGAAAGCCUGAUGCAGCAACGCCGCGUGAGGGACGACGGCCUUCGGGUUGUAAACCUCUUUUAGCAGGGAAGAAGCGAAAGUGACGGUACCUGCAGAAAAAGCGCCGGCUAACUACGUG